rnacentral:rRNA from 1 species
UAGCUACAGGCUUAACACAUGCCAGUCGAGGGGAAACGAAAUUGGAAGCUUGCUUCCGAUAGGCGUCCACCGGCGCACGGGUGAGUAACGCGUAUCCUACCUGCCCAUCACUUGGGGAUAACCUUGCGAAAGUAAGACUAAUACCCAAUGACGUCUCUAGAAGACAUCUGAAAGAGAUUAAAGAUUCCUCGGUGAUGGAUGGGGAUGCGUCUGAUUAGCUUGUUGGCGGGGUAACGGCCCACCAAGGCAACGAUCAGUAGGGGUUCUGAGAGGAAGGCCCCCCACAUUGGAACUGAGACACGGUCCAAACUCCUACGGGAGGGAGGAGUGAGGAAUAUUGGUCAAUGGACGAGAGUCUGAACCAGCCAAGUAGGGUGCAGGAAGACGGCCCUAUGGGUUGUAAAUUGCUUUUAUAAGGGAAUAAAGUUAGUCUCGUGAGACUUUUUGCAUGUACCUUAUGAAUAAGGACCGGCUAAUUCCGUGCCAGCAGCCGCGGUAAUACGGAAGGUCCGGGCGUUAUCCGGAUUUAUUGGGUUUAAAGGGAGCGUAGGCCGGAGAUUAAGCGUGUUGUGAAAUGUAGACGCUCAACGUCUGCACUGCAGCGCGAACUGGUUUCCUUGAGUACGCACAAAGUGGGCGGAAUUCGUGGUGUGGCGGUGAAAUGCUUAGAUAUCACGAAGAACUCCGAUUGCGAAGGCAGCUCACUGGAGCGCAACUGACGCUGAAGCUCGAAAGUGCGGGUAUCGAACAGGAUUAGAUACCCUGGUAGUCCGCACGGUAAACGAUGGAUGCCCGCUGUUGGUCUGAAUAGGUCAGCGGCCAAGCGAAAGCAUUAAGCAUCCCACCUGGGGAGUACGCCGGCAACGGUGAAACUCAAAGGAAUUGACGGGGGCCCGCACAAGCGGAGGAACAUGUGGUUUAAUUCGAUGAUACGCGAGGAACCUUACCCGGGCUUGAAUUGCAGAGGAAGGAUUUGGAGACAAUGACGCCCUUCGGGGCCUCUGUGAAGGUGCUGCAUGGUUGUCGUCAGCUCGUGCCGUGAGGUGUCGGCUUAAGUGCCAUAACGAGCGCAACCCCUCUCCUUAGUUGCCAUCAGGUCAAGCUGGGCACUCUGGGGACACUGCCACCGUAAGGUGUGAG